rnacentral:rRNA from 1 species
UACGAAGGGGGCUAGCGUUGUUCGGAUUUACUGGGCGUAAAGCGCGCGCAGGCGGUCCUUCAAGUCAGGGGUGAAAGCCCAGAGCUCAACUCUGGAACUGCCUUUGAGACUGUGGGACUAGGGUAUGGGAGAGGUGAGUGGAAUUCCGAGUGUAGAGGUGAAAUUCGUAGAUAUUCGGAAGAACACCAGUGGCGAAGGCGGCUCACUGGCCCAUUACCGACGCUCAGGCGCGAUAGCGUGGGGAGCAAACAGG